UUUGUCUGCCUGUGCCUGUGUGUUUGUAGACCUGAGUGUACACACACACACACACACACACACAUUUUAUAAAC
rnacentral:miRNA from 1 species